CCGGAUGUCAACGUAAAGUGUAAAAGAUUGCGGCACACAUGUCAAGGCGAAUGUUUAUUGAAUAUUUUUCUAUUUUAUGAGUCGCUAGUGGAUGAUCAAGUAUAGUCUGAACUUUAUUAAUCAUAUAUGACCACAUACGAUGUUGGGUGAAUUAAGUCGAAAUGUGCGGAUAUUACUAAUUCAAAGGUGAUGGUUGAGUGGUUCUAUAAUCAACCAUUAUCUCAAAUCGGUCCGUUGUAUGAGCCAGGCGGCGCCCCAACCCGAGCCCACUGUAGAUAAUGAAGCCAUGAAGCCAACGUUCCUGAACAGAAACCCGCGGAACCUGGAGCAGAUGGCUUUAGCGUUGAAGGACAGGGGCUGGAGAACAACUUGGCCCUCUCAAAAGUUCUACCAUAGGUGUGGCUACCUCUGUGCCCGUUCAUACUUGGACAGAUGUACUUUUUAAACUCCUCUUGCCGUUUCCCCCCUCUUCUCUACAGCUGUCAUCCCUUGCUUCUCCACCUCUACCCCCCCCAUUUCCUUCAGGUUGGUGCUCCCAGCACCACGUGACAGCAGAGGUGUUUGCCAACAGUGAUCCAGUCCCUGUGCUGUUGUGUUCCACCAAAGAGUGUGCCUUGAUGUGCGAGCUUGCAGCCAGCCAGGCUGUGGGCGAGGUGCUGGCACAGAGGCGUCUUUAGGCUGGCAUCAUUAGGAUGGUGUACAGACACAACCCCUGGCAGUACUGCUCUGAAGCUGUAAAUACAGGCAUAUGUUUGAGACAGUCCAUGUUGCAGUAGUCCUGAUGCAGUACAUACAGGCAUAUGGUUUGAGACAGACCAUGUUGCAGUAGUCCUGAUGCAGUACAUACAGGCAUAUGGUUUGAGACAGUCCAUGUUGCAGUACAUACAGGCAUAUGGUUUGAGACAGUCCAUGUUGCAGUAGUCCUGAUGCAGUACAUAGAGGCAUAUGGUUUGAGACAGUCCAUGUUGCAGUAGUCCUGAUGCAGUACAUACAGGCAUAUGGUUUGAGGCAGUCCAUGUUGCAGUAGUCCUGAUGCUGUAAAUACAGGCAUAUGGUUUGAGACAGUCCAUGUUGCAGUAGUCCUGAUGCAGUACAUACAGGCAUAUGGUUUGAGACAGUCCAUGUUGCAGUAGUCCUGAUGCAGUACAUAGAGGCAUAUGGUUUGAGACAGUCCAUGUUGCAGUAGUCCUGAUGCAGUACAUACAGGCAUAUGGUUUGAGACAGUCCAUGUUGCAGUAGUCCUGAUGCUGUAAAUACAGGCAUAUGUUUGAGACAGUCCAUGUUGCAGUAGUCCUGAUGCAGUACAUAGAGGCAGUAUCAAAUUAUAUAGGGAUUUUGACCAAAGGACUGUCAAGUCAUCCAUGUGUGUAUGUGACAACAGGCUGUUUGAGGUUGUGUUUAGGGAGAUAUAUUAAUCACUUUUUUCCCCCUUCAGGUUGUCAUUUCAGAAAGAGGGAGGAGUUACUCAGUGAACCACGACAAAGAGUCUUCGGGACCUGACUUUAGGGGCCAACAGUUUCCAUUAUACUAGUAUUAUGUAAAUACCAAAAAUAACUAAAGGCUCUAAGUCAAGCCAACAAAAUAUCCCUUUUUUCCAUCGUGUUGACAAGUACACAGAAAACAUUGUAUAAUUCAAUUUAAAAAAGGCAGACAACUGAACAUGACAUUGGUUACUCUGAAACAUUUAUUCACUCAUACAGUAUAGCUGUAAACAGUGGGGGAGAUAACACUUAUCCAGGUCAUUGAUGGAUUUGAUUGCAGUACAGCAGAGGUCGGCUCAGGCAGUGUCAAUGGGAUGAUGAUGUGGUGGAAACUUGUUUCAAUGAUGAAUAUAAAAACACAGCCAGCUGAAGACUUUAAAAAAAUUAUGGAUCGAUAAAGAAAUCAGCAUGAAGAACCAUUCAGUUUAACUGAAGUUCAGAAACUUUCAACAUAAUGCCAAAACUACCUCAAUAGACACAAAAACCGUAACCUGAACAAAAUCAUGCUAACAUGCACGCUGGUCAUGAAGACAAACCGUUAAAACAAUAUGAAAAAAAAGCCACCAGCUCAGAGAAAUAGCAAUAUACCGUAGAUAUCAUAAAUACUUUAAAUCAGGGUCUGUGUAUUUGGGAAAUAACUUGGUUAUUUAGGUCCCACGUCCAAGGCACUCUUACAGCAAGGCUAUUUGUGGAACGACAGUGAAAUAUUUUAAAAAAGAAAUAAAAACAUCUCCAAUAACUUAAAGGGAUUUAACACCCAAGAUUAAAAAUAAAAAAGGGUACGAGUUUUCUAAUGAUCCUCAAAUCUGUUGCCUUUAGAUUAAGGCUUACAUUCAAUCAGUUCAAGCGUUAACCGGCGACAGCAGGCAACCGCUUAGCGGAUGUUUUGGUGGUGUCGCAGGUGAGUGGAACUGUCAAAUCAGUGAGCAGCUGCUCCAUCAUUGUAACAAAAUCCGCUGCACUCACGUUAGAAGUUCAGAAUGAGAAUGUGAAGGCUAUAUAGAAAUAAUUACACUCAAAUUGAAAAAUCAUUUAACAAAAUAAAUGAGGAUUUCUAAAUCAGCAUAAUCGAGGUGUGGAUUACAUCUCACAUUCCAGUGUCCCAACUUGUAAACAAGUCUGCAUGGGUUUUUUCUUAAUGCGACUGCAUGCUGGGAGCCACUUGUGAAUUUGACAGCUCUAACGAAGGUCCACCUCCAACACCGUCAAAACAUUAGCUACACGGCUGUCUGCUGAAGCAGAUCUGAUUGAAUUGGGCCCUAAAACUCAAGGACAGAAUGUUCAUUGGCACAGAGGAACACAAUUGGCAAACAGUCUGGUGCCCUUGAAUUGGUCAUGAAUUGGUCCAGAAUAAUAACACAGCUUAAAACAGUCACUCAACAUUACUAUUUUGAAACCUCAGUGAGAACAUUCAAGUUUUGGAUCAUUGAGACAGCAUGCCAUUUUCAUAAACUCUAAAAAGAUCUAGCUUGUAUGUGCGUUUGUAAAAAAGAAAACCCCUAAAAUAAGGGCACUUAAAAUACACAACCUGAACUGGCAGCCUCAAAUUCAGAGAAGACAAAUUAAUUAUUGCAUAGAGGUCAUAGGUCAUGAGGAGAGAAGGAGGGCACACUACACAUGCGGUAUGAUAAUGUACAUACAUUCCAACUUCAGUGACAGUAGGUAAGUCUAACCAGAAAUACUAAGCUUUGGUCAUACACAUAAUUAUUUGUGUCGUAAUACUGCAGUGACAUAAAAAAAGUGAGCCAUCACUACCAAUGGAGUAAAUGUGUUGGGGAACAGUUUUUGUUUGAUACAUUUAAAGAACCUAAAAUGAAAUAUUGUGCAAAAGGAAUGACACUUAAAUAACCAAAUUAUACACCGAGUGUAGAACACAUUAGGAACACCUCUUUCCAUGACAGACUAGGUGAAUCCAGGAGAAAGUUAUGAUCCCUUAUGUCACCACUUCAAAUCAGUGUAGAUGAUGGGGAGGAGACCGGUUAAAGAAGGAUUUUUAAGCUUUGAGACGAGGAUUGUGUUUGUGUGCCAUUCAGUGGGUGAAAUCAGCAAAACAAAAUAUUUAAGUGCAUUUGAACGGUGUAAUGUGCACCAGUUUGAGUGUGUCAAGAACUGCAACGCUGCUGGGGUUUUCACACUCAACUUGACACAGCUGUGGCGAGGGUGGAGUCAACAUUUGCCAGCAUCCCUGUGGAACGCUUGACAGCUUGUAGUGUCCAUGCCCCGAUGAAUGUUUUGUAUACUCCGUGUAUAACGCUAUGCUAGUUGGGAGUCUAAAGCCUUGUUCACAUUGGCAGUUUGAAAUAACUAAAAGAAAUGCAUAUACGAUUCAAAUCUGUUCUUUUUCCUGCAGUAGGAACAGAAACAUAUUUCAAGCCACAUUUCAAAACACCUUCGUAGGUGGGUUGAAAUCAGGUACUAAUCGGAUUCCUGGCCAUGCAACUUGUGUCUGAACGGUCAAAUCGGAUUGAUUUGCCCGCAAAUGGUUUUUAGACUUAUUUGGCAUAGCUUGUUGCUUGCUAGCCACUGACAGUUUGACAAGAACGUGGUAGCUAACAAGCUUGUUAAUUGUUUAUAAACAAAUGAGUGAAUCAGUCUACACCACUGCUCACACACACACCCAUCAAUGCUAUGACAGCUAGUGUAGCCAUGUAAGCAAAUGACUGCUGUCUGAACAAACAAAUCUGAUUUGGUUACUUGUAACUUGCGGUUUGGACAGUCAGUAUUCCAAAACAGAAUUGAAAAACACUGAUUUUAGCUUUUAAGGCCUGCAGUGUGAACAAGGCUUAAGUAGUAUGAUGUAUAUAAAUACCUUUGGGUGAUACUUUCAUGUUUAUAGCUUGAAAGAAGGCAGAACAUUUCAUCUCUUCCUAUUAGUGUCUACUCUAGGCUUCUCUUUCUCCAUCCAUUCUCUCCCUCUACCGCCCUUCCAUCGUCUUGGUAUCUCCUUCCCUGGACUCAGGUUUACUUGGCCCCGCCCCUUCACAUUUUCUGGGACCUGAUAGGCUGCUUGGCUCAGGUGAACCGUCCACAUGGGCCCUCUGAUGCAUGAGGCCCUUCCGUCCAUGACUCCGCCUCCGCUGCCCUGGAGACCGCCGGUGACUGUUGGCAAUCUACAUCGCCGAAUAAUAAAAAGGUCCUCAUCGUCCAGUUCGUUGAUGGACUGCAUGAGAGAGAAGAGGUUCAUCCUGCCACUGCGACUGGGGCUCUGAGAGGACGCCUAGAGGGAGGAUAUUAAAGAUGGAUAAACAGCAUUGUCCCAGCCAUAUCCACAGCAACAGGAAGAAUGAAGUCCUCCACAAUAGUAUGGGGCUUGCCUGUCCUAGCCACUCAGUAGCUCACAAUGUAAGUCGCUUCCAGCCUCUUCUUAUUAAAUGGCAUCUGUUACUUUUAUACAGCUUACUACUCAAAAGUAGUCUUUAUUCUCGCUCAAAAAACUCCAGUGGCUUAUUUUGCAAAUUGUCAUGUUUCGUUUCUAAAUGUCUGCGCAAGAGUGAAGGUUUCCCGCGAGAGAGUAACAGUUAAUGUGAUUGGAUGUUAUUUGACAUUGUGUUAAUUUGCUGAACACUAGAUGGUUUAAUUUUAUUUUUGGCAGUGGAACGAGGCUACACAGGCGAGUAGAAAAAAAAAGAGAAACUAAACCAAAACGUAUAGCCCCGUUGGAAAAUAUGAAAUGUACGGUUUGAAAAUGUGAAAAAAACAACAACAUUUUAAUAAUAUAUAUAUACACUCAAUCUCUUCAUUCAAAGACUCAAUCAUGAACACUUACUGACAGUUGUGGCUGCUUUGCGUGAUGCAUUGAUGUCUAACUUCUUGCCCUUUGUGCUGUUGUCUGUGCCCAAUAAUGUCUGUACCAUGUUUUGUGCUGCUGCCAUGUUGCUACCAUAUUGUCGUUGUGUUGCUGCCAUGCUGUUUGCAUCUUAGGUCUUUAUGAAGUGUUGUCGUUAUGUGUGUUUUGUCCUAUAUUUUUAAUCCCCGCAUGAAGCCUUUUGGUUGGCCGUCAUUGUAAAUAAGAAUUUGUUCUUAACUGACUAGCCUAGUAAAAAUUUUAAAAAGGUUAAAUAAAAAAUGACCACAGUCAAAUCCCAUGUGACCAUUAAGUCAAGGUAACUAGGCUCCAAAACAGUUGUCUAUAAAUGAAAGGUGCUGAUGGGCGUUAGCAGGUUUCGUAGGCUACUAAUGGUCGUUAAGUCGCUAAUGGCCUGGUAAUCUGCAUUCUAUUUUCCCUCUAACCACUGACAAAUGCAAUCGAAAACCAAACAUGUCAUGAUUAUUCAAAUUCAAUCUGCAGAGGUUGCAAUUAGAGGUAGACCGAUUAAAUCGGAAUGGCCGAUUAAUUAGGGCCAAUUUAAAAUUUUCAUAACAAUUGGUAAUCGGCAUUUUUGGACACCGAUUAUGGCCGAUUACAUUGCACUCCACGAGGAGACGUGGCAGGCUGAAUACCUGUUAUAUAAGUGCAGCAAGGAGCCAAGGUAAGAUGCUAGCUAGCAUUAAAAACAUAUCUUAUAAAAAACAAUCAAUCUUAACAUAAUCACUAGUUAACUACACAUGGUUGAUGAUAUUACUAGUUCAUCUAGCUUGUCCUGCGUUGCAUAUAAUCGAUGUGGUGCCUGUUAAUGUAUCAUUGAAUCACAGCCGACUGAGCCAAACGGGUGAGGAUUUAACAAGCACAUUCGAGGAAAAAGGACUGUCUUUGCACCAAUGUGUACCUAACCAUAAACAUCAAUGACUUUCUUAAAAUUAAUACCCAAGUAUAUAUAUUUAGUUAAUAUUGCCUGCUAACAUGAAUUUCUUUUGACAAGGGAAAUUGUGUCACUUCUCUUGUGUUCUGUGCAAGCAGAGUCAGGGUAUAUACAGUGGUUUGGGCAGCCUGCCUCGUUGAACUGUGUGAAGACCAUUUCUUCCUAACAAAGACUGUAAUUAAGUUGCCAGAAUUGUACAUAAUUAUGACAUAACAUUCAAGGUUGUGCAAUGUAACAGCAAUAUUUAGACUUAGGGAUGCCACCGGUUAGAUAAAAUACAGAACGGUUCUGUAUUUCCCUGAAAGAAUAAACGUUUUGUUUUCAAAAUGAUAGUUUCCGGAUUUGACCAUAUUAAUGACCUAAGGCUCGUAUUUCUGUGUUACUAUAUUAUAAUUAGUCUAUGAUUUGAUAUAGCAGUCUGACUGAGCGGUGGUAGGCAGCAGCAUGCUCGUAAGCAUUCAUUCAAACAGCACUUCCCUGCAUUUGCCAGCAUCUCGUCGCUGUGCUUCAAGCAUUGCGCUGUUUAUCACUUCA